CUCUGUUGUAAGGGAAGAACAAGUACGUGUAGUAACUGAACGUACCUUGACGGUACCUUACCAGAAAGCCACGGCUAACUACGUGCCAGCAGCCGCGGUAAUACGUAGGUGGCAAGCGUUAUCCGGAAUUAUUGGGCGUAAAGCGCGCGUAGGCGGUCUCUUAAGUCUGAUGUGAAAGCCCCCGGCUCAACCGGGGAGGGUCAUUGGAAACUGGGAGACUUGAGUGCAGAAGAGGAGAGUGGAAUUCCAUGUGUAGCGGUGAAAUGCGCAGAGAUAUGGAGGAACACCAGUGGCGAAGGCGGC
rnacentral:rRNA from 1 species